AACUUUCCAGAGAUGGAUUGGUGCCUUCGGGGAACUGUGAGACAGGUGCUGCAUGGCUGUCGUCAGCUCGUGUUGUGAAAUGUUGGGUUAAGUCCCGCAACGAGCGCAACCCUUAUCCUUUGUUGCCAGCGGUCCGGCCGGGAACUCAAAGGAGACUGCCAGUGAUAAACUGGAGGAAGGUGGGGAUGACGUCAAGUCAUCAUGGCCCUUACGACCAGGGCUACACACGUGCUACAAUGGCGCAUACAAAGAGAAGCGACCUCGCGAGAGCAAGCGGACCUCAUAAAGUGCGUCGUAGUCCGGAUUGGAGUCUGCAACUCGACUCCAUGAAGUCGGAAUCGCUAGUAAUCGUGGAUCAGAAUGCCACGGUGAAUACGUUCCCGGGCCUUGUACACACCGCCCGUCACACCAUGGGAGUGGGUUGCAAAAGAAGUAGGUAGCUUAACCUUCGGGAGGGCGCUUACCACUUUGUGAUUCAUGACUGGGGUGAAGUCGUAACAAGGUAAGCGUAGCGAG
rnacentral:rRNA from 1 species